UUCCCCCAGUAACUGCGAGUGAAGAGGGAAGAGCUCAUCAUUGGAAUCUGGCAGCGUCUCGCUGUCCGAGUUGUAGAUGAGAAGAGUGGGCCAUCUGGACUGCAUGGUGUCCAAGUACAAUAGGCCGUCAGUGGGACAUCAUAGAGGGUGACAAUCCCGUCCUUGACACCAAUGUACGAGUCCUUUUACGAUGCCUAUCUCGGAGAGUCGAGCAGUUUGGGAUUUGCUGCUUAAACAUGGGAGGUAGAUUCCUUCCAAAGCUAAAUACAGGCAAGAGACCGAUAGAGAACAAGUACCGCAAGGGAAAGAUGAAAUAGAACUCUGUGAAGGGAGUCAAAAGACGUGAAAUUGUUGCGAGAGAAGCGAUUCAAGUCAGCGUAGCUGGGCCCAUCAAGCCUCGCGCUUUGGACCAGCUUUGCCAGCGGUCUUGUCCUAGAGACUCGACUAAGGUGCCCUGCCCGGUCUGACGGGCAGACCUUCCCCCCUGGGGGAGGCCAGCGGCACGGCUGGUGGAAUGGCUUGCAAUCGACCCGUCUUGAAACACGGACCAAGGAGUCUAACAUGCAUGCGAGUAUAAGGGUGGCAAACCCGUAUGCGCAAAGAAAGUGAUAGCCUUUACGGCUGUGAAUGACCUGAUGACCAGACAAGCGAUAUCAUGUCCCUCGUACGGUCAUUGCCCAAGUCCCGUGGUCAGAUCCCAUGGACAUGGAGUUGGAGCGUGCAUGCUAGGACCCGAAAGAUGGUGAACUAUGCCUGGACAAAGCGAAGCCAAAGGAAACUCUGGUGGAGGCUUGUAGCGAUUCUGACGUGCAAAUCGAUCGUCUGAUCUGGGUAUAGGGGCGAAAGACUAAUCGAACCAU
rnacentral:rRNA from 1 species